AAUUGACUAGAUUGUGUUGUAUAUUUUGGAUUGUGCUUAAUUAAUAAAGUAAAUUUGAGUUGAUGUAUAAAUUAAUUGAUAAAAUUGUUUUUACUAUAGUGAAUUAGUACUGUGAAGGAACUAAAAUGGAGUUGUUAAAUUGUUAAAAGGUAAUUUUAUUGAUUGUAUCUUGUGUAUCAGAGUAUAUUAAAAUGAAUUGUCGAUAAGAAUUUUUCUCGAAUUUGAAAGAUUUAAUUGAGAAUGUUAGUUGUUGUGUCAUAACCAUUAGCAAUACUUAAUUGGUAAUGAAAUGUUAGUCGUUUUCAAGGAUAUCUAGUUUUUCAAUAAAUGAAUUUAAUUCAGGGGAAGUAAGUUAUUUAAUAAUUUAUUAUGGGAAUAUCUUAUUUUCUUAAUUUUUAGGGGGAAUAGCUCUUGGAAAUAUUAUUAUAAUAGUCUUUUAUAAGGAGAAUUUUAUGAAUUUAGAAUUUGUUAAUGAUUUAAGGAUGUUAAAAUUUAGUUCUUGUUAUUAUGAAUUUAGAGUUAGUUUAAUAUGUUUAUUGAAAUAUAAAGUUGAACUUUGUGUUUUUAGUAAAAAUGAUGUAAUUAGUAAAAUUGAAUGUAAAAUGUUAUUGAGCUGGUAAGUUGCUGUAAGGAACUAGGCAAAACUUUUGCUCGCCUGUUUAUUAAAAACAUGGUUUCUUGAAUUGUGUAGGAAAUCUAACCUGCCCACUGAAUAUUUUUGAAGGGCCGCAGUAUUUUGACUGUGCAAAGGUAGCAUAAUCAUUAGUCUUUUAAUUGAAGGCUGGUAUGAAUGGUUGGACGAAGUGAAUACUGUCUUGUUGUAAUUUGAUGUUGAAUUUAGAUUUUAAGUAAAAAUACUUAAAUGUUGUUAAGGGACGAUAAGACCCUAUAGAGUUUAAUAUAUGUAAUUUUAAUUGAGUUUAAAUUGGAUUUUUAAUUAUUGUGAAAUGUAUUUAAUUGGGGUGAUUAGAAGAUAAAAGGAACUCUUCUUUAAGUUUAAUAGUUUAAUUAGUUGUGAGAUCCAUUAAUAGUGAUUAUAAGAUUAAAUUACCUUAGGGAUAACAGCAUAAUCCUUUUUGAGAGUUCAAAUCGAAAAGGGGGAUUGUGACCUCGAUGUUGGAUUAAGAUGAAUUUUGGGUGUAGAUGUUCAUAAUAUUAAGUCUGUUCGACUUUAAAAAUCUUACAUGAUCUGAGUUUAAACCGGCGUGAGCCAGGUUGGUUUCUAUCUUUAACUUUAUGAAAUAUCUUAGUACGAGAGGACCAGGUAUUUGAAAUAAUUUUUGAUGGGCUGAAUGUUAUUAACU
rnacentral:rRNA from 1 species